AGUGAACGCUGGCGGUAGGCCUAACACAUGCAAGUCGAACGGCAGCACAGUAAGAGCUUGCUCUUACGGGUGGCGAGUGGCGGACGGGUGAGGAAUACAUCGGAAUCUACUUUUUCGUGGGGGAUAACGUAGGGAAACUUACGCUAAUGCCGCAUACGACCUACGGGUGAAAGCAGGGGAUCUUCGGACCUUGCGCGAUUGAAUGAGCCGAUGUCGGAUUAGCUAGUUGGCGGGGUAAAGGCCCACCAAGGCGACGAUCCGUAGCUGGUCUGAGAGGAUGAUCGGCCACACUGGAACUGAGACACGGUCCAGACUCCUACGGGAGGCAGCAGUGGGGAAUAUUGGACAAUGGGCGCAAGCCUGAUCCAGCCAUACCGCGUGGGUGAAGAAGGCCUUCGGGUUGUAAAGCCCUUUUGUUGGGAAAGAAAAGCAGCAGGUUAAUACCCCGCUGUUCUGACGGUACCCAAAGAAUAAGCACCGGCUAACUUCGUG
rnacentral:rRNA from 1 species